GAAAAGCCCGCUCGCCGGAAGACCAAGGGUUCCUGUCCAACGUUAAUCGGGGCAGGGUGAGUCGACCCCUAAGGCGAGGCCGAAAGGCGUAGUCGAUGGGAAACAGGUUAAUAUUCCUGUACUUGGUGUUACUGCGAAGGGGGGACGGAGAAGGCUAUGUUGGCCGGGCGACGGUUGUCCCGGUUUAAGCGUGUAGGCUGGUUUUCCAGGCAAAUCCGGAAAAUCAAGGCUGAGGCGUGAUGACGAGGCACUACGGUGCUGAAGCAACAAAUGCCCUGCUUCCAGGAAAAGCCUCUAAGCAUCAGGUAACAUCAAAUCGUACCCCAAACCGACACAGGUGGUCAGGUAGAGAAUACCAAGGCGCUUGAGAGAACUCGGGUGAAGGAACUAGGCAAAAUGGUGCCGUAACUUCGGGAGAAGGCACGCUGAUAUGU
rnacentral:rRNA from 1 species